rnacentral:tRNA from 1 species
GGGUCUCUUGCGUACGUGGUGUGCGCGCCUGGCUGAAGACUAGGAGGUUCCGGUUCGACUCCGGAGGGACCCA